GUUUCAAUACUUCUUCAAUGUACUUGCUUUGACUCAAUGUGAUGGUCUUUGAUACUCUAUUCCUUGUAAAUUCCACACCCAAACAAUAAUAAAGCUCUCCCAAAUCACUCAUUUCAAACUCUUUCUCCAAUUUCUUCUUCAACCAAUCUAAUUUUACCAUGGUGUUGCUUAAGAUGAUUAAAUCAUCUACAUAGAGGAUCACAACCAGCAAGAAGUCCUU
rnacentral:lncRNA from 1 species